UCAGAAUUACAAAAAGACCCCGAAAGAGGGAGAGACAGCCUGUCUUUGCUCCUGACUGACAGAUUGCACUAGUUCAAAUCCAGGAGGAGACGAAAAGGAAAAGAAUAACAACAAAAAAAGACCAAAUGCGGAAAUUUCUGCCUGGCUCCCAUGAAGGUGUCAUUUCCAGUUUCACCCCAGAAAACUCAACUUCCGGUUCCACCUCCAAAGAAGUCGUAGCCCGAUGACCUCAUUUCCUGUCCUGAUCCCAAGAUCCCUCCUCUUCCUGCCGUUUAACUAUAAAUCCGUCAAGUUUCCUAACCUGUGAAGUUCUGUUUUUGGACUCUUGUUGGUAAAGACUAUUUUUCUCAACCUUCUUUCGCAUUUACAGCCAAUUCUCAAGUACACGGGAGGCUGCCUAAAACCUCUUUGUGUGUCAAAACCUGAUUAUUUACCACACCUAGCAGACACAAUUGUCCUAUGAGCUUCUGAGGGAUGAAGUUGUUGAAUGCUGAACUGAAGUUUAUGAACGGCAUUCUAGCACAAGUGUGUCUUUUGUCCAGAUGGAACAGGGCCAGAUGAAGAGCAGAUGAUAUGGAACGAUUUGGUCGAUAGGCAAAAUAGAGAAGGUCAUGUAAUCCUGGAAGUCUGACUUUCAUGUCGCCCAAGACUAGCCUCUUCAUGAUAACCACUGUGAGUGCUGUUACUGUAGAUGAUAGUUAUUGAUGCAAGACACAAUAGUUUUUUAGCACGAGUAUGAUGGUGGGAGCACUUGGGGAUAGCUGACUGCCUCAGGAAAAUAUUGAUGUCUGUAAAGAUGACUGUUGGCUGGCUUGCAAAUUCUCCGAGCACUCAGUCAGGUAUGUUGUCUGGUCCAGCAGCUUUGCCUGAGUUUACACUGAGCAAAGUUCUUCUCUUGUGAGCUAUAAACAAACAUAGCACCUUUUCCUCCUGGAAAUUGAUGGACUUUCUCAUAGGUAUUUCGUUCAGGUUACCAAACUGUGCAUAGAUGUUAUUUAGAACAUCUAGGAGGAAGGCAUCAUCAUUGCAGACAGGUAGUGUGACCUUAUAGUCUGUGAUGGUUUUGAUUCCCUGCCACAUCUGCUGUAUGUCUCUGGUGUCCUGAAAGUGGUUAUGAAAUUUUAUUUUAAUCCAAACUGAAGAUCAAAUAGUCAGGAACGAAUCUUGGGUAGAGUGCCAUGCAUUGCAGGGCUCACUUACAAAGGUACCCGACUCACCCUAGGCAAAUUCCAAAUCACAAGUUAAUUUGACAUUGUGGAGUAGCAGGUCCACGGCAGGGAAAUUAGUCGGCAACUUUAAAAUAAAUAAAUAAUUGAAUGGCUGGCUCGAUCUCUGUGGGUGUGUGAGCUCAUGUAGCGGUUGGAGGGGUGAGACACACCUGCUCAAUUUCUUCAUCGGCCUUCUGUGGUGUGCAUUUGAGGCUCGGCAUUCAUGGAGGUAUAUAAGGGGGAGCUGGCACAAGAAAAGAGAGAGAAAAAGAAUGGAAGUUAAAGGAAAGAGGGAGAAAGACAGGAGUGAGAGAGAGCCGGUGCAACAUGGGAGGAAGCAAGCAGUCAAGAUGGCGAUCCUUAGGAAGGAGCGUGUGGCUGGCAGUCAGGAUGGGACUGAGGGAUCACUCCUACCGAGUGACUAUGGAGCAGGAGCGACCAUGAUGCUCAGCACGUGCUCUCUUAUUGGGAUUUUUAACCUCCACAGACACUCACUUCUAUAAGAUUAUGGACUUUUGAGCACUGCAUUGUUUUGGACACUUUUGUUUUGUUGGAUUGUAAUAAAAGCUG